CCUACGGGAGGCAGCAGUAAGGAAUAUUGGUCAAUGGACGAAAGUCUGAACCAGCCAUGCCGCGUGAAGGAUGAAGGCCCUCUGGGUUGUAAACUUCUUUUAUCUGGGACGAAAAAAGCUCAUUCUUGAGCACUUGACGGUACCAGAGGAAUAAGCACCGGCUAACUCCGUGCCAGCAGCCGCGGUAAUACGGAGGGUGCAAGCGUUAUCCGGAUUCACUGGGUUUAAAGGGUGCGUAGGUGGGUCUGAAAGUCAGUGGUGAAAUCUCCGAGCUUAACUCGGAAACUGCCAUUGAUACUAUAGGUCUUGAAUCAUCUGGAGGUAAGCGGAAUAUGUCAUGUAGCGGUGAAAUGCUUAGAUAUGACAUAGAACACCAAUUGCGAAGGCAGCUUACUACGGGUGCAUUGACACUGAGGCACGAAAGCGUGGGGAUCAAACAGGAUUAGAUACCCUGGUAGUCCACGCCCUAAACGAUGGAUACUCGACAUCAGCGAUACACUGUUGGUGUCUGAGCGAAAGCAUUAAGUAUCCCACCUGGGAAGUACGACCGCAAGGUUGAAACUCAAAUGAAAUUGACGG
rnacentral:rRNA from 1 species